GCAUGCUUUUACAGUAUGGAAAUUGGUGAUUUAUAAUAACUUGGCAAAUCGCAAAGUGAAAACAGGCGAUAAAUCAUUCAAGUUUCUGACCUAUCAGCUUUCGACGGUAUGGUAUUGGCUUACCGUGGCAGUGACGGUUAACGGGGGAUUAGGGUUCGAUUCCGGAGAGGGAGCCUGAGAAACGGCUACCACAUCUAAGGAAGGCAGCAGGCGCGCAAAUUACCCAAUUCUAACAGUUUGAGAGAGGUAGUAACAAGAAAUAACAAUACAAGGCAAUUAAAAUGCUUUGUAAUUGGAAUGAUAGAAAUUUAAACCCUUUUUAAAGUAUCAAUUGGAGGGCAAGUCUGGUGCCAGCAGCCGCGGUAAUUCCAGCUCCAAUAGCGUAUAUUAAAAUUGUUGCAGUUAAAAAGCUCGUAGUUGAAGUUCUGCUAAAAGUAACCGGUCUGCUUUUAAUAAAAGUGGUAUCUUGGUGUGUAUUUAGCAAUGAUGUCCUUUGAAGUGUUUUUUACUUUAUUGUAAUAAAGCAUAUUCAGGACUUUUACUUUGAGAAAAUUAGAGUGUUUCUAGCAGGCCGACGCUUUGAAUACUGCAGCAU
rnacentral:rRNA from 1 species